UAACAGUUGAGUCAAAUUAGCACCAAAAUAAGCAGUCUGGAAUUCCAGGAGUUUCCGACAGCGACCUCACAACCACCAGAUUUGGUUGUUUUGGAGCUUAAAGCCACUUUUGGUGUGGCAAGAGCAGAUUUCAUACAGUCCUAAGCAAAAGUUUUAGACCGCCACUGGCGGUUUUUUUUUGUGGCUUCAGGGGGGAAAAGUCUUUAGGGCUGAUGAAUUUGGUGAGGGUCAGGAUGAAGAUACAGGACUGCAUUUUUUUAUUUUUAUUUUUUUCAAGCCAACAAAAUUUUUUUAUCAGUUGCGAAUAUGCAACUGAGAUUGUUUUGAAGGAUCAUAUAGGAGGUACAAAACUGACAGGUCUGGAACAACAACAAAAAAAAUUUAAACGCCCUUUUCUAAACACAAGAUAACAGUGAUUGCAGGAUUCAAUAAGAAACUGCUAAACUAAUUGUAGUGAGGUGACGUAUUAGCCAAGGAAAAUUCCUCCAAGGGCCAAUCAUAUUCGUGAGUUUCUGGGUAAAUGUGCCUGAAUGUAGUCCCGUGUUUCCAAGUCUCAGACCACCCAUAAGUUUUUAUGAUCUUUGGUGAGGAGGAGGAUUGACACAGAUAGCAAGAUCAUGUCAGCCAUUCAUUAUUGAUUGCAGAGGGCCGGUGGGCCAUGGGGAGGGGGAAAAAAACCCCUCGGGGCCUCAUCCUUUUGGUGAGGGUCUGUAUGGACUAUCGAGAUACACAAACUUUGUAAGAUCUUAGACCACCACCACGUCUUUUCUGAUAUUUGUUAGAUAGUCGGAAAGGCACAGCCAUAAGACAUACAAAAUGAUUGCGUUAGGGGUUGGGCAUGGGUCAAGGAAAGUCCCGGAGUAGCUGCUGAAGGUCUGGAUCAAGUUGCUGUGCUGGCCAAGUGAGCAAAAAGUCUUGAGACUACCACUUUUUUAAUGACCUCUGCCAUGUCAACAUCAAAACAAAUAGCAGGACCAAUGUUGGUUUCACUGAAUCUUUUUUUUUUCAUGGGGAGGGGGGGUCUUGAGGGGCUAAGCCUUUUGUGAGGAUCUGGAUCAAGACAGAAAAACAUGCAAAGUGAGUCCCGAUGGCAUCAGGACAAGCAGACGGACAGCCAAAUUGACCACUUUUGCCCCCGACCUUUUCGUAAGCGGCGGAGUUUUGCGCUCCCGUGACAUUGCACGUUUGUGACGCAAAUGUAAUAGAGGCCAGAGACUGUAAUUAAAACGCGUAGCCUUGCACUUUU